UUAGCUCGUAAACUGAAUGCUUCCUGUUACGUUGAAUGUUCAGCUAAAAGUCUUGUUGGAAUAGAAAAUGUAAUUAUGGAAGCUAUCAAAGCUGGAAUUGGUGACGAGGACAAGAAACAACGAUGCAUAAUUAUCUAAAUUUACAUGACGAUUUAUAAUUACCGAUCAAUCGAAAGGAUUCCAGAAAAUACAACGAAACUUUGAAGCUCAGUUUUUCAGCUGAAAUCAUUUGCUGAUAUUUUUUUGAUUCUCUUGAACAAAAAGAUAUUUUCAUUAAUCACUUUUAUCGUUUAUUCAAAUAUCAUAUCAAUCAACAUCUAUUAUCUUCAUGAAUCAAUUUUUCAAUUUUAUCAAAGAUUAAAAAACUCUUUGACU